CACACGUUUACCUUUGAGUGCGUCAGCAGCUGAGAGGAAGUGAAAGUAACACAAACUACCUGUUCCGCCUCACCUGAAGGCAGACGGCAGCAGAUGGCUGAAGCUCUGCGGUCAAGCCAGACUUCACAAUGUUUUCAGGUGCGUUCCUAUACGAGAUACUAUGGUAAUAGCGAGUUCGAAUCGCUUUCACAAUAAAAGCAUGUCCGGGCAAAUAGAAAAAGUUACAUUCAGCCAUUAAAUCAAAUUUUCUUUCAGCUGAUCAUACAAUAAUACAUGAUCACAUCAACAUAACAAAUGAAUGAAUGAAUAAAUAAAUCAAGGUAAAUAAAAUGUAAAAACAAUGAAUAUGAAAAAUAAAUAUAUCAUCAAAUUUGUUCUCUGAAUUCAGAGUGCUAUUUCAAGGAAACUUCCUGUUGCCACUUUUUAAAAAACAAUCAUUUAUUUUUGGUUAACUUUUUUCUUCAUUCAUCUAAAUCAAAGUUCAAUCUCCGCAGGAAAUAUCAAAAUAAAAGCAUGAAUGCCUAUAAUUGGUUACAUUUACUUUGAGAUCCUUUACAACUACAGUAAAGUCUCUUUCUCAAGGUGAGUCUCCCGAGUGCAGGUAAUAAUUACCCGACCCCCCGCAGAGACAAAGAAUGUUAGUUCCGCUUCAAGUUUGAUAGUUUCUCUGAGACAGACAACAUGUUAUUAAUUACAGUCACGUUCAUGAACUAUACAAAAAGGGUAAACGGAAAAGGCGGUAACGACACGGAGUGAACAACAUAAAGAAUAAAGCUUCAGUUGAAAGUGACAACAAGGAACUCAUUAAAAAGUCACUAAACCAUCAGUCCUGGCUGAUUUCUUUCGACUGGAAGCUACUGGCGUCAGUGAAGAUGUUUGUUGUCGUCACGUUGCUGCAGUAUGACAGAAGAUGUGGUUAAGAAGGACUGAAAGACUUGAAGUUUUCUUCGUACCAACGCGGCCAAUGAGUCCUCACGGCUUGACGGACUGAUGACGUAUCGUGACGUAUCGGCAUGUGGCAACUGCAUGUUGAGGACGCAGAUAAAAGCCUGGAACCAAAGACCGCUUUGUGCUCGUGAUUAAACUGGAGGGGACUCACACCACUGACCAGUUUCACUUCAGGAUGAUAGCAGACCACACCACGGUGUUUCACAAUGAGUUUCAGGACGUUCUGAUGUAGCAUUUCAAAAUAAAGGCCAUCCAAAAUC